rnacentral:rRNA from 1 species
AUUGAACGCUGGCGGCAGGCCUAACACAUGCAAGUCGAACGAGCGGCGGACGGGUGAGUAAUGUCUGGGAAACUGCCCGAGGGAGGGGGAUAACUACUGGAAACGGUAGCUAAUACCGCAUACCAUCGGAUGUGCCCAGAUGGGAUUAGCUAGUCGGUGGGGUAACGGCUCACCUAGGCCACGAUCCCUAGCUGGUCGGAGAGGAUGACCAGCCACACUGUAUAUGGUACACGGUCCAGCCUCCUACGGUAGGCAGCAGUGGGGAAUAUUGCACAAUGGGCGCAAGCCGGAGGCAGCCAUGCCGCGUGUAUGAAGAAGGCCUUCGGGUUGUAAAGUACUUUCAGCGAGGAGGCGUUACUCGCAGAAGAAGCACCGGCUAACUCCGUGCCAGCAGCCGCGGUAAUUC